CCUACGGGGGGCCGCAGUGGGGAAUAUUGGACAAUGGGGGGAACCCUGAUCCAGCCAUGCCGCGUGUGUGAAGAAGGCCCUCGGGUUGUAAAGCACUUUCAGUGAGGAAGAACGCCUGGUGGUUAAUACCCAUCAGGAAAGACAUCACUCACAGAAGAAGCACCGGCUAACUCCGUGCCAGCAGCCGCGGUAAUACGGAGGGUGCGAGCGUUAAUCGGAAUUACUGGGCGUAAAGCGCGCGUAGGUGGCUUGAUAAGCCGGUUGUGAAAGCCCCGGGCUCAACCUGGGAACGGCAUCCGGAACUGUCAAGCUAGAGUGCAGGAGAGGAAGGUAGAAUUCCCGGUGUAGCGGUGAAAUGCGUAGAGAUCGGGAGGAAUACCAGUGGCGAAGGCGGCCUUCUGGACUGACACUGACACUGAGGUGCGAAAGCGUGGGUAGCAAACAGGAUUAGAUACCCCUGUAGUC
rnacentral:rRNA from 1 species